rnacentral:tRNA from 1 species
GCCACAGUAGCUCAACGGCAGAGCGCUUGCCUUGUAAGCAGGAGGUUGAGGGUUCAAAUCCCUCCUGUGGCU